rnacentral:rRNA from 1 species
UACGAGGGGGGCGAGCGUUGUUCGGAAUUAUUGGGCGUAAAGGGUGCGUAGGCGGUUUGGUAAGUCUUGUGUGAAAACUACAGGCUCAACUUGUAGUCUGCACGAGAAACUGCCGGGCUUGAGUAUGGGAGAGGUGAGUGGAAUUCCUGGUGUAGCGGUGAAAUGCGUAGAUAUCAGGAGGAACACCUGUGGCGAAAGCGGCUCACUGGACCAUAACUGACGCUGAUGCACGAAAGCUAGGGGAGCAAACAGG